rnacentral:rRNA from 1 species
UACGUAGGGUGCAAGCGUUAAUCGGAAUUACUGGGCGUAAAGCGUGCGCAGGCGGUUAUGCAAGACAGAUGUGAAAUCCCCGGGCUCAACCUGGGAAUGGCAGUGGAAACUAGGAGACUUGAAUCUGGCAGAGGGGGGUGGAAUUCCACGUGUAGCAGUGAAAUGCGUAGAGAUGUGGAGGAACACCGAUGGCGAAGGCAGCCCCCUGGGCUGAGAUUGACGCUCAGGCACGAAAGCGUGGGGAGCAAACAGG